rnacentral:rRNA from 1 species
GUUAAGCCUCGGAGUGGCGAGCCAAAAGGAACCAUAAGCCAUCGCGCGUCGGGGGACGGGGUGAAUGGCGAAGCAGGGCGAGCUCCUUUUCUUUGUCCGCGACCUCUCUUCUUCGCUGCGCUGAGUCCUCUGCCGCCGCGUCCGCUGACUGAAGAGGGUUGCUUCCAGCUAGGUGUGGUUCAGAAGAAGAAUGGGCGGUACCUCUUGCGGGGGGACAGGCAACAAGGGGCAGUACCGCUGGCUCCAGGCUCCUCCAGGGUGGGACGCCGCCACCGCCGAUGGAGAACGGAUGGUACCGCUCGCAGGGGAGGGAAGUUCGCGGACUUAGGGGUACCGUCGGCGGGGGAGGGGAACCAGUCUUGGGAUUAGGGAUUUUAAGGGGAGAUUAGGGUUUAAGCCACCCACAUACCUUGAUACCUAGGGGUAGUCGUUGGGCUAAGUUCUCCCUUCUUCAACACCACCGCCGCUUAAUACGUUGGUUACAGAGAGUGCUGUAGAGAUGACCUCGGCGGAGACGGAUGAGACCACACAACGUCGAGGAAUGAGAUCGGUGCACAACGAACGAGAGGGUGAUCGGAGACGGAGGACACCAGAGCUUCAACUACUGUGGGACUAUGUUUCGAGGGUGUUAGUAGGCGAGGUAGAGUCGUUUUCCUCAAACAUAGGUCGAACUGGAGGUAUCGUCCUUCUAAAAUCAUUAGCAAGAUAGUUACAAGAUAAUUACCUCUUCCCCCUCUCGUUACCUUUAUUGUGGGGCAGCACCAGGAUCACGAAGAGAGGCACCCAAGAGAUGUCCAUGCAUGAUCUGUUGAUGGGUAACAAAAACAAAAGAUGACUGUCAAACUAGCGAAGUAGUUAGGAAGAUCUCCCAGAACUGUCCUUCCUGACUCGUCGGUGACACGACCUCAUCUAACACACUGUCCAAAAAAGGAGAGAUAGGAUGGGCACUAACCAAAGAAACCACUUCUUUCGUAGUGAUAGAAAGUUAUGUAGUACCUACUAGUUGUACAUACAGAAGUACCAUGUUCUUACUUCUAAUUGACAAGUUAGAUAACUAAGUCUCACUCUGUUCCCACUUUGUCUUAUUCGAGUAAAAACACUAAAUAUGUACCACCUUAAGGUCUUAUCUCCCAACUGAGUAUGAGUAUGAAGUUAAGCCGAAUAUCCCUUGUUAGUACUUGGAAGCCGGAGGAAGUAUCUACCAAACUAAAGCCGACUCUAUGGACUUGGAAACCAACUCGGGACCCAAUACGAGAAUACCUAAUUAAAUACCAAGUGCCAGGUACACCUCUUAUGUUUCAUUUCACACGUACAUACUUUCUACCUAACACAAGGUUUUCUAAAGGGUUUCUAAAAUUACUCGUCUGUAGUGAACUACUAUCUCCGAAAGGAUAUAUAGUAUAUAGUAUCUGUACUAAACCCAAUGAUACACUCCUUGUUCCCAUGACAAUUCGACCUAUUAGCUACCCAUCACCGCGUGACGAAUGUUGACGAAUUUUCUAAGAUUCACGUGUAAUUACAACUCACCACGUUGUUCUGUUUAAACGAGUUUAUAAACAAGGUCAUAGAGUGAUUCCCGGUACUACAACGAGCGUAUUCCAAAGUUGGAUACCAGCUUACAACUCGCAAACAACGGGAACCACACCGUUGAUCUUCUUUACUUUAAAAUUUUAAACAACUCACGUCUAUAGAAAGACGAACGCUUCGUAUGACGGUAUACAAACGAAAGUUAUAUGUACCAGCACUCGGACGUCACCUCUCUAACCAACACGUGGAAGGAGCUCAGAAGUAUUCCUCAAUGGAACCUUGGUCCUUUCAACGAAAUUAAAAACAACUCUUCUGCUGCUUUUUAUUACCUAUGUUAAUACCUCAUUUAUUUAAUGAAACCGACUUGUUGGAUGUUGUUUGACUGGGUACGAACAGUAUGAUGAUAGAAGACAGUAAAAGUACCAUAAAAGAUCGAGAAUCAGACGUUCACAACGGUUGAGAUUACUGAGUGCUGCGUCUGAGCGUAUAACGUACUAGUGUAGAAUCGAAAGAACCAUUAAGACGUGAAGCUUCCUUCAAACAAAGAAAAGCCCUUUGGUUCCAUCAAAUAAAACUAGGUUUAGGUUAUUAUUUUAAACUAGUUAAGGACAUAUUAGAUACCUUCAACGUAUAUAAACAGUCCUAAUUAGUCGAACUAACUAUUCAAUAUAAAAAGUAAAACGUCAGACAUAGACCACUUUGAAAUAUCCGGUCAAUGUGUAUGUAUAUCUUUAUUACAGUAAAAGGAAAUUUUUUCUAAUCGCAACGUACAAGUAUUAUCGUAACCGGUUAUUAAAAAGUGACUUAUAUUAGAUUCUACUCUGUCUUCGUCUACCUGAUGUUCGAUAUUGACUCUUCACGUGCUUCUGUCUAUUUGAUUACUUAUGCUUGAGAAUAAAUAAAACAUUCACAACGUUGUGUGCCCGAACACUAAGUACCAAACCUGUUGCGGGCAUCGUUACUUGAGAAUAGAUAAGCAGUGGGACCCACUCCUUAUCAAUAAUAAGUGGAGGGAGAUAAAAUGGUAGUUACGUGGUAUUAAAAUACAAGGCAUCCAAAAUAGAUUAUAGGCUGCAUUUUUCUCUGGUAUUCUUUUAUAUAUUAGCAGCAUUUUUUAUAAAAUACAAUACAUUUUAAUGUUUGCAUUUUUUUAUCACAUUUUAUCUGUAUUUGACGUUUAAAAGAACAGAAUACUGGAUAUAAAAAUAAAAGAAUACGGUUUAAAAUGCAUCACUUAAUUAUCCUUACAUUGAUAAACUUAAGGUU